GGAGGUUGCUCCUUAUCAGGUACAUGUGUAGCCAAUGAUCCAAAUAAGGCUUUUCCUGUAAAUUUUGUCAAACAUUUGAAUCCAAAAUUGUUCUAAGCCGCCGACACAAAAGGCUCUAGUAACAUAAUGUAGCCGAAUUGGUGGUUGCCAUGGAAGCAAACAAAACAUAAUGAUGCCCUCGCAGAAUCUCCUAGUUCAGAGGAUGAAGAUUUGUGUCUCCUGUGCAAUUCUAUUUAUAAGGAGAAGCUGUCUCCAACUUUGGACCGUGUAUAGGCUAUCGGCGCCCUGGCAUCACGAAGUAACAAGGUAUUUCCCUACAUCACCCAUAGUACCACACCAACACCAUGACCAAAUAAAAUGCGGAAGGGGAACACAAGUCUGUUGAGUUAGACUAGAUUCACACCUGUGAUUUUUUCCCCCAUUGUUCUACAUCAGGGG